CCAACGCUCAAAGUCACUGUCGAUUUGCAGCCUCUGCCCUAACCUCUGCUUCCGACGUCGGUAAGGGUUCUGCCGUGGCCACCAUUUGGGAUCCGUAUGCCGUCGUUGCCCUCUGCUCUAGUUUACUGCCUCAGUAGCCCCUUGCUGGAAACAACACCGGAGCCCUAAAUCCUCCGUUCUCUAUUCCAGUGAGUUACUGGAUGAAGGUAAGGAUCAGGUUGCAAUUUUAGUUGUGCACUUGUAUUUGAUUGGGUAGUUGAUGCAUUCGUAGUGUGAUUUUUGGAUUCGAUUGUUGGAAGGCACCUAGUUGGUUCCGGCUAUCACAGCAUUAAUAGUUGUUGCUGUCCCUGCUUGAUUCCGGCCAUCACACCCCUGUCAACAGAUUGGCACAUCUGAGUGGGAAGGAUUUCAGCAGGGAGUUUGUGUUCUGUGGGCUUACUUGGUUCUAGCAGAAAAUUCCGACCAGCAGCACCCCUUGUUCCAGAAAUCAAUAAGGCUGAGAAAUAAGGACUUGACGCGAGACGAGUAUCUCGACGUCAGAUUUGGACCUGAUAGGAUUGGA